UGCUUCAUACACUACUCCAUAAGAUAUUGAAAGUAGUUUAUGUGUGUGUGUGUGUGUUUGUGUCUUGCUAACACUUAUCUCUCUCUCUCUCUCUCUCUCGAAUAAAUAUAUAUAUAUAUAUACAUACACACACACCUUGCUAACUGUGAUACUUUGUAGUGACCGAGAGUGUUGUUACUUCUUUCUUUGAUGUUAAAAUAUGACUAACCUUCAAGCUUCGAAGACCACGUUGUAGUAGCAAUGAAGAGGAAUUCGUAACCUGUAUGAUAGGUUUAAAACAACCUGUAUGAUGGGUUUAACUUGGCAUAAAAUAGAUUAGACCUUAAGGCUGCCCUAUGGUGACUGUGCUUUGCCUUGACAUCUCAUGCAAUUAUCUAACAUGUCCUAGAGAGCAUGGCGUUUAACAAUAACCUAAUUACAAUCAGAAUUGAAGAUGUUCGUUCAUCCUUUUUUUUUUGUCCAUCUUAGUACUGGGUAUUGCAAACUAAAAAAGUUCCAUUUCUUAAUUUGUUUAGUAUAAUGCUGAACCAUUAAUAAUUCAAUUUCUUAUAUUUCUGUUGCUUUUGAAAUACUCAGGAGCUUGCUUGUUGAUAUAUGUUCAGUUGCGCCGUGGGAUACUGAUUUAUUUGCCUUUUCUUUCCAGUUACCUAUGUGAUAAAUGCUAAACUGGCACCUGUAUUUGGCCAGCCCCUUAACCCACAGGCAGCAGCUGAAGGUGAGAAAAUUUUGACUUGUGCUCUGUCAACAAUAGAGUCCAUUUGGCUUCAGGACAGUGGGAAAUUCUUGCUUGGAGCAGAUCAACCAUCGUUAGCGGAUCUUAGCCUUGUCUGUGAAAUCAUGCAACUUCAUGUAAUACUUUUUGUUUCCUUGCUUUCUUUUUUGUUUUAACUUUGGAAUUACAACCACACAGUCACAUGUUAGUUCCCUGAGGUGGACAUGACAUUCAUAUGUAAACUUGUUUGUUGGAUACAGCUAUUGGAAGAAAAUGAUCGCAAUCGUUUACUGGGCCCAUACAAGAAAGUUCAACAGUGGAUUGAAAAUACAAAAACUGCAACGAACCCUCAUUUUGAUGAACUCCACGGUGCUGUUUUUCAAUUCGGUGCAAUGCUGAACAAGCAGCAGUAAGCAGGAAGGAAGAGUGAGGUUUAUCUCAAAUGCAAUAUUUGAGGAAGAGUGUUGUAGCCUUUUAUUUAAAAAUCUGCAAUAAGAUUGUUCGACAUUUUCAGAGAUUAAGGACUUGUCAGGCAGUGUUAAUGUUGCUUGCUAUGUAUCAAAACGUUUGGAUAAUAUUUCCUGAUAUUGUCCAAAUGAUGAGAACCUUGUUGAAUAAAUAGAUGUUUAUGUUAUAUCUGGUGUUUUUUCUGACGGGAUAUUUAGAUACUGGCCCAUGGAAUGAAGGUAUCUUUAUGUUUAUUAUAGUGCUAAUUUGCUUUUCAGGCCUGAAAACCCAAUUCAAGCAAAUUUUAAGAAAUUAUAAUCUCAUUAUUUGCUUCAAUGAUUUGGGUACUUUCUUCAAUUCUUCUUCAGUAUCAUAAUGCAAAUAAAUUACAAAGAAGGAACAGCAUAUUCUUUAGCAUCUCAUAUGGGUUUCACAAAUCAAUUUCCUGAAAAUUUUAACUGGAAAGCAGACUUGUACGGUUCUUUUUUCAUGGGCAAAACUGGAAUUAAAUAGUCUUGAUAUGCGGGCUUGUAGUUGCAACUAACAUCUUUCCCACCAUUUUUACUUGGCCCAGUUUCUAACCUUACAAGCUGUAGGAAAUGCACCUGAGAAGCGUGAAAGUUGGACUCCGGCAGUCAAUCCAACAAGAUUAGCUGUUUAAAAGCCCGAAACCAAAAACUGGUGAACAUCAGUCUUGAAGAAACAAACAUCAUACUCUCUUCAUAGAUCGACAGUUUAGAAAUAGAGAGAAGCAAGAAAAUGAAGCUGAAGAUAUAUGCAGAUCGAAUGUCCCAGCCAUCACGGGCAGUUCUUAUCUUCUGCAAGUAAUUUAAUUUAAUGGUUUUUUACUGCAAAUUUAAAGCUGGGUUUUUGUUUUUCUUGAUUAUUUUUGACUUGGGUGUUUAUAUACAGGGUGAUUAUAAUGUUAACUAAAUCUACCUUAAAUAGUUUUUUUUGAGCAAAAUAUAGAAGCUUUAAAACCUACCUUAAAUAGUCAUUUUUCCUAUUUUGUAGUAAUUUGAUAGAUUCAGUUUGAAAAUAUCUAUAGCCCGUGCUUUUAAGGUUUGAGGUGGCUCGAAUAAGUGUAAAUGAAUUGAGUUGACACGUUAAUUAGUUAUUUAAGCUCGAUUUGAAAAAAAUUUAAAAUAUUUAGUUGAAAUUCAACUUGAGUCUAACGAUGUAAACUCAGAAAAUUUGUAGAGCCUUAAGUUCUAACGUGUUUAGAACACCAACAAGGUUUGACUCAGCUAGAUGAAUUCUCGAGUCUCGACACCGUCAUCUAGCCAAAGAGAUAAAAAGUCUACUAUGACAGUGAUAGAAAAUGUAAAUACACAGCAGAUGUACGCGCCGUCGUAUUUGGCAAUUUGCGCUGGGUUUGAUUCUUGUGAACGCGAGAGCGAAUCCUGGUAUCGCCCAAUUAUGUCAGUUAUGGGAAAAAUCAAAAUAUGCUUUAACUAGUAUUUAAUGGCAAUUGAAGGCAGAGAAACUGGCGGGAUACCUUACGUGUUUGCUUGUCGCAUUCAUAUCUUCAUCAAUCAUGGAAACUUAUCAUAAAUAAUUCUUGUCACAUCUGCGUUAUCCCAUACAUAAAACGCGUUUAACCUUACUCUUUCCAAUUAUAUAAGCGAUAAGGAUCCACCAGAGCACAGAGCAAUAGAGCAUAUACUCACACAAACAAUACUAUCUACAGAGAGAGAAUCGGCAGCGACAAUGGCGUUGAAAGUGUACGGACAUCGAGGUUCCCAACCGACACGCGCUGCUAUGAUCUUCUGCAAGUAAUUUCAUAUUUCGAUCACUUAUUCAUGAUCAUAUUUUUAACUUUCAGAUCAGUAUUUUGCAUUUUUUUUUCUGCUGAUGACUGUUAAUAAAAUCCGCUAGGAUUAAUGGAAUUGAGUUUGAGGAGAUCACAAUUGACUUGUCUAAGAAUCAGCAUAAGACUCCUGAAUUCAAAGGUAUUAUUUAUUUUAUGAAAUGUUUAGAUAAAUUAUUGUUGUUUAUGACUAAUUAAUUAGUAAAUGAUUUAGAUAUAUGAGAUCUGUUUUUAGAUUCAAUUAGUUCUUUGACAUAAUCAUGGUCAUUGACUUUAUAAAUUUGUAAGCAGGACUGUUUGUUGGUCCUUACUGCUUGAAAAUGGAACCAUUAUAUUUGUUUAUUGAGAGUGUAUAUGAUUAGGAUUUGAUUUUUUUGAUGUUGGAGGUUUGAUCUUGCUUUCUUGACGACUUAUUAUGCCCAGCUGUUUCAAGUUUACUGAACAAAAUCCAGUUGUAUUUAACGCAUUAGUGAUCGGUUUCUUCCAAAAUAUUAAUAAUGAGUAGUAAUUUGUUUAUUGAUAUGAUUAGCACUAACCUUUUUUGUUGUUGACGACAUUUUUCAGAGAUAAAUCCUAUAGGGCAAGUGCCAGCUAUUGUUCAUGAUGAUUUUAAGCUAUUUGAGAGGUAUGAUAUAACCCUGUUUUGGUGCGCUCUUUCCCCCCCCACGCAGAAAUUUGUUAUUUUAUUGUACAAAUUGAGGGUUGGUUUGUUAAGGACUAUUUUUUAUCUGUUCAUUUACCAUUCUGCAUCGGCGGAGAUUGUUGUUGCUGAAAUAUUAGAUUAAAUCUAUCCUGUUACCACUUACCCCAAACCAACCCUGUGUGUACUCACAGUCUCACAGACGCAUAAGUUUGGUGAAGAUAUCCCAAGUUAAUCACAAUAUUAUACAUGUCUAUCUUUUCAAAUAUCCAGACAAGCCAUGUGGAUGCAACUUUUAUCAUAUAACUUGGUUUUAUGAUGUAUUCUUAAGUAUUGAAUUGUGUUAGUUCCUCCUCCAGCCACAGAAAUUUAUGUGUCAACUAACUUCUUUUUCCACUCUGCAGCCAUGCAGUCCUUACCUAUCUUGCCUGUGCGUUUCCUGGAGUUACAGAUCAUUGGUAAGCAGAGUUCAUCAUAUUUUGCAGUCAAUUUCUUUGAUUAGGCUCUGCGUGAGUCUUGUCAAUGUUCAAAGUUUUGAAUUGGAAAUGUAACAGAAUUAUAAUGACUGAGGCUGAUUUUCAAGACAUGCAUAUAAGUUGAUGUCUAGAUAGUCUAGAUGCAUAUAAAAGCAUAAAACAAGCAUAAAAUAUGAGUGCUAAGAAAGUUUUUGGAUUGCCAAUAGCAAGUUACUUUUAUUCAACCAAAUGUCAUAUUUUGCACUCAGUUCUUAAUAGUUUUCCAUGUGCACUAAAGGUAUCCUGCUGAUCUUCGCAAGAGAGCCAAGGUUCAAUCUGUGUUAGACUGGCACCAUUCUACCUUACGCCGUGGCUCAGGUGCUUCAUACACUACUCCAUAUGAUAUUGAAAGUAGUUUGUGUGUGUGUGUGUGUGUGUGUGUGUCUUGCUAACAUUUAUCUCUCUCUCUCUCUCUCUCUCGAAUAAAUAUAUAUAUAUAUAUACAUACACACACACCUUGCUAACUGUGAUACUUUGUAGUGACCGAGAGUGUUGUUACUUCUUUCUUUGAUGUUAAAAUAUGACUAACCUUCAAGCUUCGAAGACCACGUUGUAGUAGCAAUGAAGAGGAAUUCGUAACCUGUAUGAUAGGUUUAAAACAACCUGUAUGAUGGGUUUAACUUGGCAUAAAAUAGAUUAGACCUUAAGGCUGCCCUAUGGUGACUGUGCUUUGCCUUGACAUCUCAUGCAAUUAUCUAACAUGUCCUAGAGAGCAUGGCGUUUAACAAUAACCUAAUUACAAUCAGAAUUGAAGAUGUUCGUUCAUCCUUUUUUUUUUGUCCAUCUUAGUACUGGGUAUUGCAAACUAAAAAAGUUCCAUUUCUUAAUUUGUUUAGUAUAAUGCUGAACCAUUAAUAAUUCAAUUUCUCAUAUUUCUGUUGCUUUUGAAAUACUCAGGAGCUUGCUUGUUGAUAUAUGUUCAGUUGCGCCAUGGGAUACUGAUUUAUUUGCCUUUUCUUUCCAGUUACCUAUGUGAUAAAUGCUAAACUGGCACCUGUAUUUGGCCAGCCCCUUAACCCACAGGCAGCAGCUGAAGGUGAGAAAAUUUUGACUUGUGCUCUGUCAACAAUAGAGUCCAUUUGGCUUCAGGACAGUGGGAAAUUCUUGCUUGGAGCAG
rnacentral:lncRNA from 1 species